rnacentral:lncRNA from 1 species
CACCAUCCAGUUGGAAUCCUCUUUCCUUAGGGGAAUAUCCAAGAGGUAUUUAGUUGGUUGGGCACGUUCUUCAAUCAAAACAUCUCGAGCAUCGAAUCCUAUUGGAAGCUCUGGUCGGAUCUCCAGCUGGGCUAGCUGGCCUUCUGCUCGAAGCUUGGUGGUAAAGUAUUAUCGAGCGAUGGUCUGAUUGCCUCAGAUUUGUCCCACUCCAUUCUUGGUUGGAAACUUUACCAUC